rnacentral:lncRNA from 1 species
CAGUAAUGGGAUUGCUGGGUCAAAUCUUAUUACCAUAUUAAUGACUACAUUAUUGUAAUGAUGUCCCCUUUAUCAUUUCUGUUAUUAGAAAUUUAUCUCUUAGCUGCAUCCCACAAAUUUUGAUAUUCUGUUUUUAUUACCACUGAGUUCUGAAUGUUUUCUAAUCUCUCUUAUGAUUUCUUUAUUGAUCCAUGGGUUAUUUAGACAUGUAUUGUUUAAUUUUCAAAUAUGUAUUAGGUUUUAGAUGCAUUAUUGUCUUUCAUUUCUAAUUUAAUUUCAUUGCAAAUGAAGAAAAUACUCUGUAUAACUCCAAUUCUUUUACACUUAUUGGUAUGUUUUUUAUAGCCCAGCACAUGGUCUAUGUUGGUGAACAUUCCAUGUGCAUUUAUCAAGAAAAUGUAAUUGGCAAUUGUUGAGCAUAGUAUCCUAUUAAUUUCAAUUAGUUCAAGGGCAGAGGACUGCCUCACAGGAUGGGGCGAAGCCUCCCACAGUUUAGUCUUCCUGAGCCUGUCAGUGUCCAUCACAUUGGGGACACCUCUGCCGAAGCCACAGGACUGAGGUGAGAUCUCUUUACAAGUCUGAGGACAUUGCAGGCACAUGUGGGCACCUGGACACAGAGAUGUACAGACACCCAGAGCAAGAGAAUCACUUAGGUGCAUACCUAUGAAGAGAAACUAGUUAA